CAAGGACUUGAUAUCCGGGGCCAUGUACUCCAAGUGAUGGGCUCCCCACACCGGAGUGGUCAGGUGGGCCCAACGCUGCAAAACAUCAACAAACACGUGGUCACGUCGUGCACGUCCAGUGUGAGCUGGUGCUUACCUCUUUGAAGGUUCCCUUGGCUCUAAAGAGUUUGUAGAGAAGGCUGACAGGAAUGCACAGCAUGGAGGACAGAGCCAGACACCAGCCAAUCACCUCGCCCCACCAUGGGUACACGUACACAUUGUUGUAGGUCAGGGGCUUAUAGUUCACCAGGUGGAACAGAAAGAUACCCUACGGGUGGAAAGGGGAGAUUAAAGAGGAAGAUUGGCACAGAUUUGGCAUCAUUUACAUGCUUUGUGGUGUUGAUACUGUAAGAUUUUAUUAUGUUGUCACAGCAGAACUGAAGAAUAAUGUUGGUCUAUGCCUGUUAGUUUUAAUAUGAUUCUGCUCUAUGCUCAAGAGACAGCAAAAGGUAAUAAGUGUAUAAUCAAUAUAAAUCUUUUCUGAAUUUGUUCCUCUACAAUAAUCAAAAAUGUAUGUAUGCACUCUGUUUCUAAUAAACUGGUAUUAGUGCCUUAAAGACUAGAGGAAAA